rnacentral:rRNA from 1 species
AUUGAACGCUGGCGGCAGGCUUAACACAUGCAAGUCGAGCGGGGGAAGGUAGCUUGCUACCGGUCCUAGCGGCGUUCGGGUGAGUAAUGCUUAGGAAUCUGGCUAUCAGUGGGGGACAACAUCUCGAAAGGGAUGCUAAGACCUCAUACGUCCUAUGGCAGCAAGCAGGGGGUCUUCGGACCUUGCGCUAAUAGAGGAGCCGAAGGCGGAUUAGCUAGUUGGGGGGGUUAAGGCCUACCAAGGCGACGAUCUGUAGCGGGUCUGAGAGGAGGCACCGCCACACUGGGACUGAGACACGGCCCAGACUCCUACGGGAGGCAGCAGUGGGGAAUAUUGGACAAUGGGGGGAACCCUGAUACAGCCAUGCCGCGUGUGUGAAGAAGGCCUUAUGGUUGUAAAGCACUUUAAGCGAGGAGGAGGCUACUCUAGUUAAUACCUAGGGAUAGUGGACGUUACUCGCAGAAUAAGCACCGGCUAACUCUGUGCCAGCAGCCGCCGUAA